AUUGGUAAGUUUUAUACAACAUUUCAAAAAGAAAUAUACUUCAUAAUAAUGAAUUUAACUAAGGCCCUUAUUAUGAGUUGCAUUCGAUCUUCGCUAUUCGCUGGCUAUCGAAAAUCGAAUGUCAAAUUGGUAUUAUGAGCUAUGCAACCCUGUCGAAGUUUUCGUUGAGCAUCGAAAUGGCUGUCGAACAGAAUUUACCUAUCGACAGCGUAGCGUAGUGAAUGGAAAUUUGUGAAAAUGUCGAAAGUCGUGAGCACUAAACAGCAAUUGGAAAAACUGGUAGCUUUAAUGGAAGAAAAUCCACAAUUUGCGAGAGGUAUUUGCACCAAAGUUCAGGCGGCAACAAAAUGGGAGGGAUUUGCUUUGGAGCUAAACUCUUUGGGUCCACCUUCAGAACUUGUAAAAGGUGUCAUCAAAUAAGUUUUCAGAGCGUAUCCAGCGUCUCAUAUUCAGAAAAAAAAUUUAUUCUAAAAAAUAUAACGUUCUGCUUUUUUAGUCAAACAUAUAUGUAUCAAGUAGCCAAGUAUUGCGAAGACCAUUUUCGACUUGCUGUUCUAAAUAUGCUUUCAAUGCUGACAUGUUGAAAAUCAUUGAAUCAUGCGUUGCCUCCGGAUUCUUUGCAUUUAUAUACCGUAUGUUCAUUGUAUAAUCACAAACCUGUAAUUAAUAUAAAAGCCAAAAAUGCUCAACUACAAAUUUA